GGUGUCAGCAGCCGCGGUAAUACGGAAGGGGCUAGCGUUGUUCGGAUUUACUGGGCGUAAAGCGCAUGUAGGCGGCGGAUCAAGUGGGGCGUGAAAGGCCUGGGCUCAACCUGGGAACGGCGCUUCAGACUGGUUUGCUCGAGUUCGGGAGAGGGUGGUGGAAUUCCCAGUGUAGAGGUGAAAUUCGUAGAUAUUGGGAGGAACACCGGUGGCGAAGGCGGCCACCUGGCCCGAGACUGACGCUCAAGUGCGAAAGCGUGGGGAGCAAACAGGAUUAGAUACCCUGGUAGUCCACGCUGUAAACGAUGGGUGCUAGAUGUCGGGGGGCUUGCCCUUCGGUGUCGCAGCUAACGCGUUAAGCACCCCGCCUGGGGAGUACGGCCGCAAGGUUAAAACUUAAAGGAAUUGGCGGGGGAU
rnacentral:rRNA from 1 species